GACGAACGCUGGCGGCGUGCUUAACACAUGCAAGUCGAACGAGAAGAGAUGAGAAGCUUGCUUCUUAUCAAUUCGAGUGGCAAACGGGUGAGUAACGCGUAAGCAACCUGCCCUUCAGAUGGGGACAACAGCUGGAAACGGCUGCUAAUACCGAAUACGUUCUUUUUGUCGCAUGGCAGAGGGAAGAAAGGGAGGCUCUUCGGAGCUUUCGCUGAAGGAGGGGCUUGCGUCUGAUUAGCUAGUUGAGGGGUAACGGCCACCAAGGCGACGAUCAGUAGCCGGUCUGAGAGGAUGAACGGCCACAUUGGGACUGAGACACGGCCCAGACUCCUACGGGAGGCAGCAGUGGGGAAUCUUCCGCAAUGGACGAAAGUCUGACGGAGCAACGCCGCGUGAACGAUGAC
rnacentral:rRNA from 1 species